UACGUAGGCAGCAAGCGUUGUUCGGAGUUACUGGGCGUAAAGGGUGUGUAGGCGGUCCGCUAAGUUUGGUGUGAAAUCUCCCGGCUCAACUGGGAGGGUGCGCCGAAUACUGGCAGGCUAGAGUGUGGGAUGGGAGAGUGGAAUUCCUGGUGUAGCGGUGAAAUGCGUAGAUAUCAGGAGGAACACCUGUGGUGUAGACGGCUCUCUGGACCAUCACUGACGCUGAGACACGAAAGCGUGGGUAGCAAACAGG
rnacentral:rRNA from 1 species